rnacentral:rRNA from 1 species
GACGAACGCUGGCGGCGUGCCUAACACAUGCAAGUCGAACGGAACUGUUUUGAAAGAUUUCUUCGGAAUGAAUUUGAUUUAGUUUAGUGGCGGACGGGUGAGUAACGCGUGAGUAACCUGCCUUCAAGAGGGGGAUAACAUUCUGAAAAGAAUGCUAAUACCGCAUGACAUAUCGGAAUCACAUGGUUCUGAUAUCAAAGAUUUUAUCGCUUGAAGAUGGACUCGCGUCCGAUUAGUUAGUUGGUGAGGUAACGGCUCACCAAGACCGCGAUCGGUAGCCGGACUGAGAGGUUGAACGGCCACAUUGGGACUGAGACACGGCCCAGACUCCUACGGGAGGCAGCAGUGGGGGAUAUUGCGCAAUGGGGGCAACCCUGACGCAGCAACGCCGCGUGAAGGAUGAAGGUUUUCGGAUUGUAAACUUCUUUUAUUAA